rnacentral:lncRNA from 1 species
GCCGAGUAAACACAUAUCACUGAACAAAACAGUCGACUGAAAGUAUGUAGCAAAAUAAUAUUUGAAUAUCUAAAUAUAGCGGAUCAUGUGACACGCAGGGACAACCAUGGAUUCGAAGAUAUCGCGCCACAGUAGAACGACAUAGAUGUGCUAUCAGUAACUCGUCGGUCCGCCCGCCGCCGACCUAUCGUACUCGCCACUGCAACUAACUCUCGCUACCAUAGGCAUGGCACGCCCUCUUGCGCGCGCGCACCAGCAUAGGUGACGCCGGAGGCGAGGGAGAAGCCGGAGUGGACCUGUGGCGGUGAGGAGACGCCGUUCAGGGCGCGCCCAGGAGAACGACAGCAGGGCUGCACGCGAGGGCGACCCUGACCCAGCUGCGUUGCGCGCCCUUCGCGGGCGCCGCCUCUGCUGCUCUUUGCGCCUGCCCCACGCACCAACGCCGCCGCUGCGCUUCGCGGUCGUGCUGCCGGUUCCCUUCGCGGCCGCCGCCCCGCGCGCCCCACGUCGUCGCUGCUCCUCGCGGCCGCCCUGCGCGCCGCUACUCUUGGCGGCCGCGCCGCCGCUGCUGCCGCUGCCCUUCGCGGCCGCCGCCCCACAAGCUCCACGCCGUCGCUGCUCUUCGCGGCCGCGCCGCCGCUCCUACCGCUGCCCCGUGCGCCCCACGCCGCCGCUGUUCGUCGCGGCCGCCCCGCACGCCGCCGCCGCCGCCGGCAAGAGCAAUCGGGAGGAGGAGAUCGGGGUCAGGGAAGGAGGACAGAGGAGGAGAUCGGGGAAGAAGGGCACAGGAGGAGAUCGGGCGGAGAAUGGAAAGUGGGAGGAG